GAUCUCCCGAAUAUGUAAACACGCUGUGUUGAUCGGGGGAGAUAUCUACGCCUCGAUGCGUAAUCAAGGAUCAAGUGGUUCGCUGCACGGUCUACAUUUAUUAACUAAGCAGUGCUUUUCAUCGGCGAAUAGUCGAAUAUUACCUUUUAUACAGGAUCACUAUAUUGCGUUUAUGAUAGGUGUCAUACAUUCUCACUCAGAUAAUGUUAUGUUGUUUAUAUUUAAUAGGUUUGCUGAGACUGCUGAGAAAAGAGAACGUCGCGCCAUACCGUUCAAAACCAAAAAGAAAACAUAACAAUAAGAAAAAUCACAGGCAACCGAGAUUAAAAGGAAUCAAUAAGUCGAAGAAACGAAAAAAGGUGUUUGAUGAAUAUGGAUAAUCUGGCAGCAAGGAAAUAACACAUUUGGGGCAUGUUAAAUUAAUUUAUUUACAAAAGGAUUGAAUCUUACAUAAUUUAUACGUCUAGAUAGUCUCUUGCUGUUCGACAACCGAUAAAAACAGGCCAGGAAUAUUAGUUUAGUGUGCGCGACAAGCUACGUCUUACACUCGUAAUUUGUAUGACACUUUGUGUUAGUGUGCGUACAUUCCUCAAAAUAGAGUUGAACUCUAAACUCUUUUUUCGACGUUUUCACAGCUGUCAUAGUCUAUCUAGACGUAUUAAUGAUCUUAGGUGGCAACUUGUAAUUGGCCUUCAGAAUUUAGUUAGAUAAUUUUUAACAUAUUGCAUUAGCUGUAAGUUUAAAAAAUAAGAAAAACAAAAAUUAAUUUUAUGUGUAUCUUGUCAUAUUUGUAAAAUUUUUUUUUAAUUCGCAUGACGAACUUUUUGUUAUUCGCCAUCUCGGAUUACCUAUUUAUUGUUAAACUGUAGCACCCGUUCGUUAUCCUUCGGGUACGGAACCCGAAAAAGGAAAUGGUUAAGAGAUACGUAGAUUACAAAGCCACCACAUGCCUUGAUACAUUUUUACUGUUGCGAUAAUGUAAAUAGACUAUAAAUAUUUUAUUUUAUAGUAAUACCCUCACUUCUGGUAUUAAUUAAAUUAAAUUUGUAACCAAAAUUUAUAACAGAUCCGGGAUUCGAAUCCGCGACCUCUCGGGUACGAGCGCUCUUCCACUGAGCCAAUCGUUCGAGUUCGUUCAUUUGGUUGCAAAUUUAAUCUAAAUACUCUUUAUAGCUUACCGUGUAAGAGAUUAGUUUAGAUUUUCUUUUGCAUUUAUUAUUGUAUAACAAUUAAUUAACAUAUUAAAUAAAACACCAAAGUUAAUUUA